rnacentral:rRNA from 1 species
GACGUAGGAGGCAAGCGUUAUCCGGAGUUACUGGGCGUAAAGCGCGUGUAGGCGGGCGUGUAAGUGGUUCGUGAAAUAUCCGGGCUAAACUCGGGUAGGUCGAAUCAGACUGCAUGUCUGGAGGCGGGUAGAGGGGUGCGGAAUUCCGGGUGUAGCGGUGAAAUGCGUAGAUAUCGGAAGGAACACCGGUGGCGAAAGCGGUCGACUGGACCUUUUCUGACGCUGAGGCGCGAAAGCCAGGGGAGCAAACGGG